rnacentral:rRNA from 1 species
AUGAACGCUGGCGGCGUGCCUCAUACCUGCAAGUCGAGCGAACAGACGAGGAGCUUGCUCCUUUGACGUUAGCGGCGGACGGGUGAGUAACACGUGGAUAACCUACCUAUAAGACUGGGAUAACUUCGGGAAACCGGAGCUAAUACCGGAUAACAUGUUGAACCGCAUGGUUCAACAGUGAAAGACGGUCUUGCUGUCACUUAUAGAUGGAUCCGUGCCGCAUUAGCUAGUUGGUAAGGUAACGGCUUACCAAGGCAACGAUGCGUAGCCGACCUGAGAGGGUGAUCGGCCACACUGGAACUGAGACACGGUCCAGACUCCUACGGGAGGCAGCAGUAGGGAAUCUUCCGCAAUGGGCGAAAGCCUGACGGAGCAACGCCGCGUGAGUGAAGAAGGUCUUCGGAUCGUAAAACUCUGUUAUUAGGGAAGAACAAAUGUGUAAGUAACUAUGCACGUCUUGACGGUACCUAAUCAGAAAGCCACGGCUAACUACGUG